UACGUAGGGGGCAAGCGUUGUCCGGAAUCAUUGGGCGUAAAGCGCGCGUAGGCGGCCCUGUAAGUCCGUUGUGAAAGUCAAAGGCUCAACCUUUGAACGCCGAUGGAUACUGCAGGGCUAGAGUCCGGAAGAGGCGAGUGGAAUUCCUGGUGUAGCGGUGGAAUGCGCAGAUAUCAGGAGGAACACCAAUAGCGAAGGCAGCUCGCUGGGAUGGUACUGACGCUAAGGCGCGAAAGCGUGGGGAGCGAACAGG
rnacentral:rRNA from 1 species